UCUUAUGGAUGAACAAAGAAAGUGGUAUUUUGAGUUGGAAUCUACUCCUGGUGAAAAUGCUGUAAA
rnacentral:pre_miRNA from 1 species